rnacentral:rRNA from 1 species
UUGAACGCUGGCGGCAGGCCUAACCCAUGCAAGUCGAGCGGAUGAAGGGAGCUUGCUCCUGGAUUCAGCGGCGGACGGGUGAGUAAUGCCUAGGAAUCUGCCUGGUAGUGGGGGAUAACGUCCGGAAACGGGCGCUAAUACCGCAUACGUCCUGAGGGAGAAAGUGGGGGAUCUUCGGACCUCACGCUAUCAGAUGAGCCUAGGUCGGAUUAGCUAGUUGGUGGGGUAAAGGCCUACCAAGGCGACGAUCCGUAACUGGUCUGAGAGGAUGAUCAGUCACACUGGAACUGAGGCACGGUCCAGACUCCUACGGGAGGCAGCAGUGGGGAAUAUUGGACAAUGGGCGAAAGCCUGAUCCAGCCAUGCCGCGUGUGUGAAGAAGGUCUUCGGAUUGUAAAGCACUUUAAGUUGGGAGGAAGGGCAGUAAGUUAAUACCUUGCUGUUUUGACGUUACCAACAGAAUAAGCACCGGCUAACUUCGUG